GUCUCUCUGAGCUAUGGAUCUCGCUCGCCCCCUACUGGUGUCUUCCUCCCAGAAGCCAAUUUUUGUUUACUUAAAUAGAAUACAUCCACAGACCUUAAGGAUGCAGUUCAGAAAUAAUGGGAAUCAUCAAGAGAACGCUGCCUGAGCCCUGACCACCUGCCAACUCUCCCUUCUCAUCAAUCAUCCACCACAACCACCCUCGGGUCUGUCCUGUCACCAUCACCACUUUGCAGAGGCCAUGUGAUGUGCAAGGAUGUCGUCCCUCUGAAGGCUAAUUGAAUGUGUGUCUGGGCAUCUUGGGUUUUAAAAAUGUAUGUCACUCAGGGAAAUUUGAAUAUGUG